rnacentral:tRNA from 1 species
GCGGGUGUAACACAACGGCUAGUGUUCCAGCUUCCCAAGCUGGGUACGAGGGUUCGACUCCCUUCACCCGCUCCA